rnacentral:rRNA from 1 species
CUUUAUUGGAGAGUUUGAUCCUGGCUCAGGACGAACGCUGGCGGCAUGCCUAAUACAUGCAAGUCGAGCGGAUUUGAAGAGAAGCUUGCUUCUCUGAUGGUUAGCGGCGGACGGGUGAGUAACACGUAGGCAACCUGCCCUCAAGUUUGGGACAACUACCGGAAACGGUAGCUAAUACCGAAUAGUUGUUUUCUUCUCCUGAAGAGAACUGGAAAGACGGAGCAAUCUGUCGCUUGGGGAUGGGCCUGCGGCGCAUUAGCUAGUUGGUGGGGUAACGGCUCACCAAGGCGACGAUGCGUAG